GACUUCUGAUUCCAAAUGCUGUGUUCUCACAGCUGCACCAGGAUUUAGGCCGUUCUACCCUCAUAUUACCAGCAGCACUAACAAAAGAGGCACAGCAGUGGGUGUUUGUUUAGUGCUGUGCUAUGUACCUGUUUCUUUCGGCACACAGGUGGAGGACAGAUGAAACUCUCUUGGAGCAGAUACCAGUACUCCCUUGAUCUUCCAUCCUUGAUGAAACUUCAAACCAGUGCACUUUAUAUACAUCAGAACACUGGAGUCAGAAGGCACCUAGGGAACAUCUCUAGGCUGAGGCCGGGACCCGAGCACACCGACACCAGCAAAGUUCCGAGGAGGGGCAGGGGCACCCCCGAAGCAUUUCGGGUUCCUCUGUGAGCCUCAGAGACAGCCAAGCCAGGUGAUGAAACGCCACAUGGCUCAAAGAGCCAGUAUUUGGAAGAUCCAAGCAGAAAAUGCCAAGUGAGGCAGCGCUACAAGGCAGUGGUUGUGAGAACUUGGGCUGACACGGCACAGCCAGGCGGGAAAUGCCGGGGUCACCGCAGCAUCUCGGCCAGGAACACAGCUUCUUAUCUGGAACACGGCAUGAAUUCAAUCAGGACAGUCUCUCUCCACCCUCCUCCUCGUGCUCCAGCUGUUUAAAUCAGCAGCAGAAGAAUGAAGUUAGCUCUGAACUGUGGUAGGAAUUCAUUUUUUGAGUCUAAAAUGUCUGCCAGCAUUUUCCUAUAAUAAAUCAGGACUGUCAGGGAGGUAAUCGUAACUUCUAUUCUCUUAAAAACACAAAAACAAAAUCCAAACUAGGUGCCUCAUUGGCAAGUCAGAAACUUAUAUAGCUUCAACAACUCUUUUUUAAUUGGUUAGGGUCUUUAUCCCCCAUCACCCUCAGGGUCAGAAAUCCAACAGGGACACACAAUCCUAAUGCAAGCAAUAUGCUUAUAGAUUUAGAUUAGAAUAUUAAAAUAAAAGCUGUGCAUGUUCAAAAAUAACCAUAAGGCUUAGAAGUAGUCAUUUGAUGACAUUAUAUUUACACUGAAGUGUUUAAAACUGUGUCUGUUGGCAUGAACAUGUGUAUCAAGUCUUUCCCAUAAUAUUCAUAGUUCAUGCAUUGUAAGGGAAGCAUACUUGGUAAGGUGACAGUAUGGCUGUGCUCACAACCUCACCACUUGCUGGACACGUGACCUUGGUAAGUUUUAAAAAGUAGGUUUGUGGUAGAAAGUCUGGUUCAAAACCUGGCUCUGUCAGCAGUUUGAUAUGUAAUACAGAAGCUAGAGUGUUCAUGUGCCUGAGUCUAUUUUGCAUUUAUAUGAUAGGGCUCAUGCCUGCUUAGUAGCUGUAAGCAUUAGUGGCAUUUCUAAAGUCUAUGGCAGGUGCUGUAGGCAUCCUCAGUAAUGGUAGCCAUUGGAGGUUAUCUAAUAAGAAGAGCCCAAAGUGCUCUUCAGUGACAUUGAGCAUAUGAAGGGUUUAUAAAGACUGAGAUCCCCAUUAAUAUGGAUACAGCUUGUUGGGGAAUGCGCUGACCCUCGAGUUAGGCAGGAGGUGCACAUGCGAGUCGGGCUAUGGUUAAAUGCAUGUUAUCUGUGUCUGUCAGAGCUAGCCCAGCAGAGUGAAAAGAGUGCUUGCCAGGACCAGAUACAGACCUAUACACUGUCUCCUUUCUUUAAAGAGGCUGGGGUCUCCAACCAGCCACUUAAAUUUUCUCAGAAAAUUCUCCAUGGUUCUUUCUCAUGUCGUAUGGUCUAUGAUUCCAGGCUUACAUGAGAGGAUGAGGUGGACAAAUUAAAGGGACAGAAAAUAAUUCAUUGGUUCAGAAAACAGAAACCAGGGCAGAUACAGAACAGGAAGAAAGCAAAGGUAUAAAACAGAACAAAAGACACCACUGAGUUCUGAAAGUUUUCAAGGCACCAAGGUGGAGGACAAAACCCUAAUGCUAAGUGUUCAGUUCAAUUUCUGUAGAAAUAGGCUGUGCAGAUCUGUAAGUUGUAUAUGGUUCCUCUUUUGAGCAGUUGUGAGACCUUGUGAGACCUAUAUAAUUUUUUUGAGACAAGGUUUCAUUAUGUAGUCCAGGCUAGCUUUGAACUCAUAAUGAGCCUCCUGUCUCAGCUUUGUGAGGGCUGGGAUUACAGGUGUGUGCUAGCCCACUCAGUAGGUUAUAAUUUUUAAGAUUCGUAUCUCUCUUAUUUUUUAAAAAGUCUUAUUACCUUUGGAGUACAAAACAACUCCAUUCAUUGCGGGGCACUGGUACAUAUAUGUAAAACAUGCUUCCUCACUUGCCUGUUUUCCUUAAGAGAGUUGUUCGAUGGACUGAAACAGCACACAUGAAAAGCCAAUAGAGUAAAAAAAAGUUACUCUUCUC